AACUUGUACGCGGGUUGGAGUUAGUAUAAAUAAUGUGAAGUUUGCAAAGUCUCGCAGAUUUCUCGAGGCUUCAAUCAUGAAGGCUUGCUUAGUUUUUGCUGCUCUCGUCGUCCUUUUUGCGGUGGUGACAUUUCCUGGCGCAGUAGAAUCUGCCAAUGUCCCCAUUUUGCCCAAGGUUACUAUCCAAGGGCCGACGUUUCCAAAUAGCUGCGUUUUUUACGAAUGCAUUGCCAGUUGUAGACAGAAAGGCUACCGUAAUGGUGGGUACUGCACUAUCAAUGGAUGUCAAUGUCUGCGAUAGAAACGAAAAAUGAAAAUUAGAAAUAUGUUUUGGUGAUGAGCUUGAGGCUAUUCUUACUUAUAAUACGUACAACUUUAAUUUAGACUGACCACUAAUUACGAAAUCAAUUAUUGAAUAAAAUUAUUAGAAAAAACGCA